rnacentral:lncRNA from 10 species
CCACCUGGGAAGCAUUGCUGGUAUCCAGUUUAUGGAUGAAGAGAUUGAGGCCUGGGGGGACAAUGGAAUGAGGUGUAUGCAAGGAUCUGCAUCCAGCUCCCGAGUCUGAUGAGUUCUGGCAGUGGCUCCAGGGAAAGGAGGAGUCCAGGAACAGAGCUGGUGGGGGAGGCGCUCCCAGGAGUGGCCUUCCCAACAGCAGGUGCUGCACUCCUGCUGCCACUGAGGAGUCACACGUUCCCUCUUCUGAAGGACUCUCCCCUAUUUCUGCCCCUCCCCAAAAGGUGCCUUGAGCUGUCCAGAAGAGACAAACCGAAGCCCUGCACUGGAAGGGAGGAAAAGAGAGAGGAACCCCUCCCCCCAGCAAGGAGCGGAGUUAGCUGAAAACUGCACCGAUCCCCUCUUGGGCUCUUCCUUGGCUGCUGCCCCUUCGGCGCAACUGCCCUUCCUCUUGGGCUUCGGCAGUGGGAAGAGAGCGAGCCGGGUGCUUUUGAGCUGCAGUGCGCGGAGAGGCUUCGCGAGGCUGGGCUCAGUAUUCGUUAAUGAUCAAACAAUUAUUUAUGUUGACAGCCCACAUCUCCCUUUCCGUAGUUUCCAUCUGAAGACUUAGCUCUACCCUUCUGGUGCAGAACAGGAAAGCCUAAUCUGUCUUCCCUGAGAUUCAAGAAAUUCAAGAGGCUGCUCCUCCUGGGGCCUCUGUCGGUAUCCUCCUUGUUGCUCCUAGUUAAACUCUUAUUCCUCAGGUAAGAUGGUGCUGAGUCUACUCACCAUCGGACUGUGGUGUCUAGUAUUGGACACCACAUCCCUGAUGUGCCCUGACACCUCAGUGCUCUCCCACAUAGAACCUAGUGGGCACUGUGUCCCCGCAUCUAUCUGAAGAACUGCUCAAGAGGCUUUGUGGGAGGUCUAGCUCCUCCUCACCCCCUCCAGGCUUGACAUGCCUCCACCCCCACCACCCCGUACCCUUCGCAGCAUACUUCCAGUCAGGCAGCAAUCAGCUUGCACCUGAGAGGGAUCAGCUGUGGUGACUGAGGCUGGCUUGCUCUUGCAGCCCCAGGAACACAGAGAUUCGUGCUGAAGAACCAAAUGGUUUCUACAGUACAAGCAGGCGCCAGGGACUCCGCAGGAGGCAUCACUGGCACCUUCUAAUUGAUGAGCAGUCCAGCUCUGAAGCUGUGGGCUCUAAAGCCAGAUACCUCCUCCAGGUGACUCUGAUCUUCCUCUCCCAGCUGAAUAGAGUGAACUUCAGCGUUUCUGGCCUCCAGUUCCUGAACUCUGCUUCUUCCAAGGCAGCUGCAUAGGUCAUCAAAGAGCUGGAAGCCAAGCACCCUCCUCCAUGUUCUUUCUACUGUACCACGUGGCUUGUGUCGAUACAGACCCUUGGGCUGGACCAAUCCUGGAAGAUCAAGAGCUGACUGACGAGAAAGCUGAGGCACGGAGACCAUAAGCAAUGUUUCCAAAGUCGCACGGUUGGUUAUGAUGAAUUUUAAGAAGUUUGAAAACCACUUCUCUGAAGCAGGAGGCUUCUGUCCAGGAGGAGGACGUUGCAGAUGAGUAGGCCUUUGUUAGCUUCUACUCCACCAAAGAGCCUUUGCAAACAUGCAGAUGAGAAUCUCAACCUCCUGCCUCCCGCCUCCAACCUCCACCAGGCCCCACUCCCUUGCAUUCUUUGAUAUGGCCAAUCUACGUAUUUUUAUUUUUAAAUUAUUAUGUCAAUAGUUUUUGGGGAACAAGUGGUGUUCGGUUGUAUAAAUUCUUUAGUAGUGCUUUCUGAGAUUUUGGUGCACCCAGCACCCAAGCAGUGGAUACUCUGCCUAAUGUGUAGGGUUUUUAUUUUUUAAUUUUUUGACAGUCUCACUCUGUCGCUCAGUCUGGGGUGCAGUGGCAUGAUCUCAGCUCACUGCAACCUCCGCCUCCCAGGUUCAAGCAAGUCUCCUGACUCAGCCUCCCAAGUGGCUGGGAUUACAGGCGUAUACUACCACACCCAGCUAAUUUUUUUUACUUUUAGUAGGGACAGGGUUUCAACAUGUUGGCCAGGCUGGUCUCGAACUCCUGACCUCAGGUGAACUGCUCGCCUCGGCCUCUGAAAGUGCUGGGAUUACAGGCACAGCCACUGUGCCUGGCCCCAUUGUGUAUCUUUUAUCCCUCACUUCCCUCCCACCUCUUCCUCCAAGUCCCCAGAGUCCAUUAUAUAAUUUUUACACCUUUGCAUCCUCAUAGCAUAGCUUGCACUUUAACUGAGAGCAUAGGAUGUUUGGUUUUCCAUUCCUGAGUUACUUCAUUUAGAAUGGCCUGCAACUCCAUCCAAGUUGCUGCAAAUGCCAUUAUCUCAUUCCUGUUCAUGGCUGAGAAGUAUUCUAUGGUAUAUAUACCACAUUUUCUUUACUCAUUGGUUAAUGGGCAUUUAGGCUGGUUCCAUGUUUUUGCAAUUGUGAAUUGUGCUGCUAUAAACACGCAUGUGCCAGUGUCUUUUCCAUAGAAUGACUUCUUUUCCUUUCAGUAAACACCCAGGAUUGGGAUUGCUGGAUCAAAUGGUUUGGAGAUUCCUUAAAGAACUAAAAGUGGAACUACAAUUUAUGUAUUUUUCAAUCAUCCAAUCCCCUCUUCUACCAACACCUCAAUACCUAUGUUAUGCCUCUGCAGAAAUUCUGGAGCCCUCACCAAGCUAAACAAAGACUGAGAUGCAAAAAUCAUGGGAUGGGCAGAGGGAGAGUCAAGGAGGGCCUCCCAGGCAAAUCUAGAACAUUGGGAAAAUAGGGUUAGUUACAUUACUUAAUAAUACACACAUUUUCAAGGCACAACUGGAGUACGAGUUCUCUUCCAAAUGAUGGGCAUGUAAAUUUGGACUAGCUGUUUUUCCUCCAUUAAAUGAGCCUUCCUUGACAACUCUGCUGGCCUAUCAAGUAGGUGCCCGUGAAAAAUGAGGUAUCUUUGGGGCAUUUAGACUCUCCCUGCUGAGCCUCCUGCAUGGGGCAGCAGUGAUCGUCUUUGGCUGAAACUGUCCUGGGCCUAGAGAGUGGUGAGGGGUAGAAAGGGAGAGUUAUAUUGGGACACUGUUUACAAGAGGUUCUAGAACCCAUCAUAAGGGAGAAAACAACGGAAUUGGCCAGGGACUUACAUUGGAAAGGGAUGAACCAGCAUCCUUGCAGUCAUUUCUUCAGAUAUUUAUCCAUAUUUUUGUUGGUUGCAGCCCAACAAGGAAUUAAGAGCCCAGCUCUCUGAGGGGCUGGGGGACAUAACAGGGGAGUGUGACACUGUCUAGGGAGUUAAGAGUCACACAUAAUGGGGUGAUUGCAAACUUUUACGAUUGGACGGUUGGCAAAGGUCAUUGAAGGCACAGUCAAGCUGUGGGCUGGAUCUUGGAAGAGGAGGAAUAUCUGAGAGCAAAUGAAAUCACAAGAAUCACAAGGACAAACUCCUGAAUGCAAUCAAGCUAAGGCAGGGGUCUCCACCUUGGCUGCAGAGCAGAAUCACCUGGGGAGCUUUAAAACCUAUAAACCACAGUCUCAGGGACUGGGGCCUGGGCACGGGGAUUUAUUCCAGGUGAUUCUAAUGUGCAACCAAGGUUGAAAACCAGCUGGGUUAAGGAGAGUUUGGGAAGCCUAGGAGUGAAAUGUUGGCGCAACACACACCCUUCUGGAUUCUAGCUUAAAAGCAAUGCCCCUGCAGAUCGGGAUCUAGCUUGCCCCCACAAUGAGAAGGGGGAACUUAUCCCUAUCUGCAGGGCAAGGACAAGGUAGGCAGGGACGAGGGUAUCCAUAGGAGGGCAAGAAAAGACCCAGGAGGGAGAGGGCUACCCGUCCAGCUGCAAUGCCUCACCCUCUCAUCUCUGUGCCCGUCUUGAGUCUGAUCAAUAGGUCUGCAGGUAGGAGUCAUGGAAACAGGCAGGGUGCCAGACACAGAGGGCGGGAAGAAGGAAGGGAGCCUUGCUUUAUUAAAUUUCAAUUUACAGAGUGCUGGCUUUGACAUCCAGAAUGUGUAUUAGAAAUGGGCUCUUUUCCCUCUUUUUCAAAGAACGAGCUGCAGGCCUCUCUGCAGACAGGCAGGCUGAUUUAAGGGUUUGGUUAUUGGUCAUUAACCCCUUGACACAGAAGUUCGCUACAGUGCUGAGGGCCACAGUGCACUGAUGCUAAAUCAGAAAUGAAGGAGAGUCAUUUCCAGAAUGAUCUUAUGUUCAUCAACCACAGCACGAGGUCCACGUGAGGAAUGGGAAGCAUUUAUAAGCACCAUUCUCCAUUAGUGUGACGACAUACAUGUGUAAGGCUGGGUUUCUAGCUCAGGGCUUCCUCUGUGAACCCAUUUCCCUGGUGGAGCGGGAACAAGUGAGGCUGAGCACAGGCACACGAAUCCCUCAGCUCUUUGGGGAGAAGUUUGUAGCUGGAACUCAGCCCAUCAGUGAGGAGUCGAUCCCAUUCAAUUCAACAAACACCCUCUUUGCCUCUCGGGUGCCAGGGCUGGCCUGGGCAUUGGGAAAGCAGAGGGAAGAGCGGGAGCCCCUCCCUCAGGGACUAUCAGCCUGGCGGAGAGACAGACAUGCAGGAGGAUGGGUAGAAUAUACUCAUGGCCAGGCUUAUAACAGAUGAGUGGGCAGUGUGCUGGGGUGCCCCAGAGCUGGAGUAACAGUCUCUACCUGGGGCUGUCAGUGAGUAAUGAGUCUAAAGACAACAGCCUAAAGAGAGAGUAGUUUGCCCAAAUGUUUGUCAAGGACAAGGGACUUCUAGCAGAGGAAACAGGCAAACACAAGCCACAGACGCUUGACAGUACAAUGCCAUUUGAAAAAUGAUAGUGCCAAUGGGAUGAGGUGGGGAGGAGACUGGGUAGCACCCCGCUGGUCCCCAGGGAGCUGUGAUUCAGAUCAGUAAGUGCCCCCACUUGUUAGCACAUCUGAGGGGCUCUAAGAGUCUUCUGACUCAAAAACGUCCAAGGAGCCUGGAAGCAAGCUUGGCCUGGAGGUGCCUUGGUGUGGUUGAGUACAAGACAAAGAAUGGGUGCCCCAUUUUACUGGGAUUGCUGGUGAAGUCUCUCUUUUUCUGCAGCCUCUGGGUGUGUCUCUAGGGACCAGGGCUUGCAAACUCUCCUGAUCUAGGCCUUAGCCCCUCAUCCAGAUUCUUCUGCCACUGCUCCUCCCUUUCCUCCUCCUGCCCUCUGCCUGCACCCCCCAGACCAGCCUGGCUGCCUGGGACAGGCUUCUGCAUCAGUGGCUUUCUCCAGCAAAGUGCCUUGACACAGAUGGGAGCUGCAAACAAAAGCCACAUCAAGCAGAAACACGCUGCCAUGGGACAGAUCACAGAGGAGGCACAAUCAAUAGCAAUGGCCAGGGUGGUAGGCCAGGCCUCAGCGGUUGAAGAAUUGGGCUUGGCUCAGGGAAAGGAUAUGCGCAGGAUGCGUGCUGCUGGCAGAACAAAAUCAGAGACAGCAAAGAGCCGCAAAGGGCAUGGGGAGCGACAUCGCACUCGGAUAUCUCAAGUGCUCUGGAGACGCAGUCAUUGCACUCAGCCUUAAAAGGCAGAGAGACUGACAGCCCUCAGUGGCUGUCCUUCAAAACACACCUGGCCCAUCAGCAACCCUUGAGAAGACCAUCAUCAGAUGUGGAACAUAGCAAGGAUGUGGUGACAAUCCCCCUCGGGGCUCAGCCUCUCCUGGAUAUAGGACAAAGCUCGAGUGACUCCUGGAAAACCCAUCCCAUUCACUUUGACAGCAUAACCUGGUGUCAGCCCUGUUUGUGGCUAUAGCAGAUACUGUUAGUGCCUCACCCAUGCAUCUGGGCACUCCCCAGCCCUGGCCAUGUGAACAACCUCCUCUAUUGGCCCCUGCUGCCCUCUGCCUGGGGGACUUUUCUGGCUGCAGGAGCUUGCCUUGCCUGUACCUAGCUCCAGGAGCAGCCCCCAACCAAUGGUGGAUGGAAGCUGGUGGACAAAUAACACAUCCUUCUUGCUUCUUGGGCUAAUUUGGAGAUAUAUUCCCUACAGGCCUCCAGAAAUCCCCAGCAGCACUGGCACCAGCAGCCCCCCACUGCUAACCUGUGCAUUCACAUGACAUGAAUUGACCUUUCUUUCUCCCUUGGCUCAUGUUUCCACUGCCUUACUAAUGCUUCUAGAACUGCCUUUCAGAUACAUUACUUGUCACAAACCCUUGUCUCAGGAUCUGCUUCUAGAGAAACCUGACUCAAGACAAUGCUGGCCCAUGGCUAGCUAUACCUGUGGCCAUUAUGUCCAGGUCCUCAGCACUGAUACUAGAUAGAGGCUGAGCCCAAGCCUGUCACUGUACUUGGGCCCUAGCGCAACCUCAGUCAGCAGUGGGGCUCAUACACACCAGACUUGGUGCUCCUGAGCCUUCUGGGGACUCCACAUCUGACAGGCCACCUUUCAGUGCAGCAGCCAUGAUGACACCUGAGGUCCCUGCAAGGCAGACCUGGGGCUCUGAGGAACAGCUGCACCCUUCUGACCUGGGACUGUUUAUGGGACACCAUCACACAAACUUAUCUUGCCAAUCCUUCUCUGUAGGCCAUGAGGUCAUCCCGGAGACAAGGGACCUUUGGUGAAAAGCACAUUUCAUCCUCGCUUUGACCCUCAGGAAGUACCUGCCUCUGGUAAUCUAGCACACACCCCUUGGAGGGGCUGCCUGGCUGACAGUGACCCAUUUCCUCUGAAGAUGGCUCUGUCCAGGGCUUGGCCCAAAUGGUCUAUGCUCUGGGACUCUGCCACCCUGACCAUCAGUGAGAAUGGAGCUGUUACAAAGAGCCAAGUAGACUUCUCCCAGGAAUUUAAAACCUGAAAAGGAAAAGACACAGACAAAGUAGCCCUGAAGCUAAGACACAUUUAGGGCAACUCUCUAGGGAAGACCCAUAAACUUUUACUGCUGAGGCCCCUGGAGCUGUCCUAGUUCCUGCCUUUCCCGGUCAACCUUUCCUCUGAGUCUAUAAAAAGGAAUCACCCCAGGUUUUCUCUAAUAACAUUCACCCUUUGUCUUUACCUUAAGCUACCCAAAUUUGUUUUAUUUGUUGUUGAUAAUGACCCCCUCCCUUCAAAUUAACAAAUACAGUUAGCUUGUUCAUUAGUAAGUUCUCUAUGUUCAAGAAAUCUCAAACACCAGAUAUCUGACUACUGGGCCCUAUUUUGGAAGGUAAUGCUCAAAACACUUCAUAGCUGUGUCUGCUUGUCUGCUAUAAGCUGUGCCUACUCAAUCACAAACAGCAAAGAGGGUGCAUAUCCUAUGCACUGAGGAAUACUUCCCCUGACACUCUUCACAAACAACAGUCUGCCUACUCUGCAUCAGCUUGUGACAGUCAAUUCAUACUUCUUAAAUACAGAUUGAUUUGUUGUUCGAAAUAGUCUCUGCCCUCUCCUAUGAUGCUUCUUCCUGUAUUCCCCUCCCUACUGAGCUAUCGUACAUCACCAGAUCAUUAAUGCCAGACAUGGCCACGUUUCUAGCUGGAACGUGAGCGGGAGUGACAGACGUCAUUCCCAAUCAGAAGCUUCAGGAGCAAUCAUGUGAUACACUGUCUUUUUGUUCUCUGCCACUGGACCUGCAGCAUCCUGGAAAGGAGCUGCCCCUUUGGCCCUAGAAAAAGUUGAGAUGACAGAGCUGAAGCUGAAUGAUGACAACCGAGGAGCAUGAGUAAGAAAUAAACACAUCUUGUUGUAAGCCACUGAGAUGUGCGGACAUCAGCCUAAGAUGACUGAUAAAGAAACCGACACUAGAGGAGGGGUACUGCCAAGCCUUAAAAUAUGGGCACUGACUUUAAGGCCAGAGGUAGGUGAUGAGUAAACCACCACUGGAGGCUGGAAAGAUGGUGACCUCAUCUAUGCAACGAAGAGACGGUUGGUGAAAUACCUUGGUAAGAUACAAAUAUCUUAGUUGGCCUGCAAUAUCUUGGUAGACUGCUAAUGUUGCAAGUGAGCCCAUGCUUAGAUGCAGAGUGUGCCUUUUUAGUAUCAGCUGCUUUUGACAAGAUUCUGCAAAAGAGAGAUAAGGUCAGGGAAGAAACAGACACGCAGUAGGGCCCAGUAAGCCAUUGAGAUUUUGAGGUCAUACAUUACUGGAGCAUAAGGAAGACUGAACUGAUGGACAGGUUCCUCCCCAAAUAAUCACACCAAAAUAGAACUUCUAAAUGCAAUGCAUGCUCUUAAGGAAAAGUACAAGAAACUUUGAACAUAUAUACCAA